UUCUUUAAGAGUUUGAUCCUAGCUCAGGAUGAACGCUGGCGGCGUGGAUAAGGCAUGCAAGUCGAGGGGGCACUCCACACAGAAUGCGAUCAAUACAUGAUCGUCGAUUGUGUGGAGUGUCACCGGCAAACGAGGUAGUAACACGUAGGAACGAACCGAGAAGUCAGGAAUAACCCAUCGAAAGAUGGACUAAUACUUGAUAGUCCCGAAAGGGUAAAGAUUUAUCGCUUUUUGGUCGGCCUGCGGAAUAUCAGCUAGUUGGCGGUGUAAUAGACCACCAAGGCUAUGACGUUUAGGGGAGGUGAGAGCCUGACCCCCACCGAUGGGACUGCGACACGGCCCAUACACCUACGGGUGG
rfam:Candidatus Lloydbacteria bacterium RIFCSPHIGHO2_01_FTLL_49_22 rifcsphigho2_01_scaffold_25779, whole genome shotgun sequence.